UGCCAAGUUGAAUAAUUAUUUCCAUUUUAAAG
rnacentral:piRNA from 1 species